UACGUAGGGGGCAAGCGUUAUCCGGAAUUACUGGGUGUAAAGGGAGCGUAGACGGCUGUGCAAGUCUGAAGUGAAAGCCCAGGGCUCAACCCUGGGACUGCUUUGGAAACUGUGGAGCUAGAGUGCUGGAGAGGUAAGUGGAAUUCCUAGUGUAGCGGUGAAAUGCGUAGAUAUUAGGAGGAACACCAGUGGCGAAGGCGGCUUACUGGACAGUAACUGACGUUGAGGCUCGAAAGCGUGGGGAGCAAACAGG
rnacentral:rRNA from 1 species